CCCUUAGACGUUCUGGGCCGCACGCGCGCUACACUGACGGAGCCAGCGAGUAUAAACCUUGGCCGAGAGGUCUGGGAAAUCUUGUGAAACUCCGUCGUGCUGGGGAUAGAGCAUUGUAAUUAUUGCUCUUCAACGAGGAAUUCCUAGUAAGCGCAAAUCAUCAGCUUGCGUUGAUUACGUCCCUGCCCUUUGUACACACCGCCCGUCGCUACUACCGAUUGAAUGGCUUAGUGAGGCUUCCGGAUUGGUUUAGAGAAGGGGGCAACUCCAUCUUGGAACCGAGAAGCUAGUCAAACUUGGUCAUUUAGAGGAAGUAAAAGUCGUAACA
rnacentral:rRNA from 1 species